UCUUAAUACAUAGAAAGAACUCGAUGCCUUAUUCAAGAUGCCGCACAGAAGGUUGGCCUGAAUCGUCUUCAUAAGUUUGGACUCCCUGUAAACAAAGAGCAAAAACACAUUGUUGGCAGAUUCUUGAUGCUGAUAAUGGCUGUAGAUUAGAGAGCUCUACCGAUCGGGUAGCUACCAGAGAUAUAGUACAAUUUGUUCCUAUGCGAGAAGUUCAUAGUGAGUGCAUAUGAUUCUUUGACAAAAUUAGUUCAAACUAUUGAAUUUGGGAGUUAAUUCACAUAAGUUUCUGAAUUUUUUCAUGCCUGAACAAACGAGCCCAUUGUUUUCUGAACAGGUGGGCAAGUUUCUGUUGUACAAGCACUUUUGGAGGAGUUGCCUGGUCAGUUUUUGACCUACAUGCGCUGUAGAGAUAUCAAACCACUCAAUGUUCAGAUGGCCCAAACAUGCGCUUGAGUAAAUAUUCAUAUGUUUGGAAAGGAUACAAAAACAAACCAAAUAUAUUAGACAAGACCAAGCCAAACAUAUUAGGCUAUACAAACAUAACAUAGCAGACAUUGAUAAUGGUACAUUACAUAUGUUAGGAUAUAGCGGUUUUAGACGAUGGUAAAUUACAUAUGUUAAGAUAGAGUGGUUUGUAACUAACUUUUGAUGGCUUAAUGAAUUGAUUGAAUUUGUAUUUAGGUUCUAUCAAUGAUCUCAUAUUCUUCCCAUCCAUGUCUUUCGAUUUUUAUUAUUCCCUCUACCCACUUUUUUCACAAUUGUUUGUGUCUGAUGGCUUAAAACUCCAAUUUCUGUUGCUCAUAAACUACUACACCAGCAAUCUAACACAUGGCUCACGUGCACACUAGACAAGUCUGAUUCACACAUCUUUAAAGUGUUGUAUUAUAACUCUCUGAAACUGGGUUUGAGUAAUCAAGAAUAGCCAAAAUGUAGAACAGUGACAAUAAAAAAUGAAGACCCUCUUACAGUCUUAACUUGAUAGAAGAAAACACGAGCUACAUACCAUGUCUCACAAAUUUCAAAGAAAAUUGGCCUCAUUCCUGAUGCUGCACAGAAGGCUGGCCUGAAUCAUCUUUAAGAAAGCUCAUUUAUUACAUUAAUACAUUAUAUCAGUGAGAUGAUGCUACUUUAAUGAAACUCAUGUCUCAAGUUAGGAACAGCUACAUGGGCAUUUCAUCGAACAGUUGAUAUGCUCGGCAGAUAAUCGAAGUUUCCUGGAAGUCGGAAGUGCUGCUGGCAUUUUCAAAGUUGGAAGACCAUUCAAAGGUUUUCAAUAGUUAGUUUGAUAUUACACGUGUGAUAAUCUUGUGAUGAUGAUGAUUUUAUGUAUCUGAUUGUAAGCUAAGCUCAGUGGAUUUGUAAGUAAGCACACGGAAAAGUAUUUAAUCUUCUUAUUGUCGCAUUCUUCUAAUCUUAGCUUUCACCAACAAAAAUAAUUAAUAAUAAUGUAAAUGGAGGAACUUGGGAUCAUUAAUAUCAGUAAAC
rnacentral:lncRNA from 1 species